GGCUUUGAAGCGGGGACGCCAGUUCCCGUGGAGCCAUCCUUGAAAUACCACCCUGGUUUGUUUGAGGUUCUAACCUUGGUCCGUUAUCCGGAUCGGGGACAGUGCAUGGUAGGCAGUUUGACUGGGGCGGUCUCCUCCUAAAGUGUAACGGAGGAGUUCGAAGGUACGCUAGGUACGGUCGGACAUCGUGCUAAUAGUGCAAUGGCAUAAGCGUGCUUAACUGCGAGACCGACAAGUCGAGCAGGUACGAAAGUAGGACAUAGUGAUCCGGUGGUUCUGU
rnacentral:rRNA from 1 species